AAGUGGUAGGAGAGCGUUCUAUUUGCGUCGAAGGUAUACCGGUAAGGAGUGCUGGAGCGAAUAGAAGUGAGCAUGCAGGCAUGAGUAGCGAUAAUUAAUGUGAGAAUCAUUAACGCCGUAAACCCAAGGUUUCCUACGCGAUGCUCGUCAUCGUAGGGUUAGUCGGGUCCUAAGUCGAGUCCGAAAGGGGUAGACGAUGGCAAAUUGGUUAAUAUUCCAAUACCAACAUUAGUGUGCGAUGGAAGGACGCUUAGGGCUAAGGGGGCUAGCGGAUGGAAGUGCUAGUCUAAGGUCGUAGGAGGUUAUACAGGCAAAUCCGUAUAACAAUACUCCGAGAACUGAAAGGCUUUUUGAAGUCUUCGGAUGGAUAGAAGAACCCCUGAUGCCGUCGAGCCAAGAAAAGUUUCUAAGUUUAGCUAAUGUUGCCCGUACCGUAAACCGACACAGGUGGGUGGGAUGAGUAUUCUAAGGCGCGUGGAAGAACUCUCUUUAAGGAACUCUGCAAAAUAGCACCGUAUCUUCGGUAUAAGGUGUGGUUAGCUUCGUACUAGGAUUUACUCCGAAAGCGAAGAAACUUACAACAAAGAGUCCCUCCCGACUGUUUACCAAAAACACAGCACUCUGCUAACUCGUAAGAGGAUGUAUAGGGUGUGACGCCUGCCCGGUGCUCGAAGGUUAAUUGAUGGGGUUAGCAUUAGCGAAGCUCUUGAUCGAAGCCCGAGUAAACGGCGGCCGUAACUAUAACGGUCCUAAGGUAGCGAAAUUCCUUGUCGGUUAAAUACCGACCUGCAUGAAUGGCGUAACGAGAUGGGAGCUGUCUCAAAGAGGGAUCCAGUGAAAUUGUAGUGGAGGUGAAAAUUCCUCCUACCCGCGGCAAGACGGAAAGACCCCGUGGACCUUUACUACAGCUUGACACUGCUACUUGGAUAAGAAUGUGCAGGAUAGGUGGGAGGCUUUGAGUAUAUGACGCCAGUUGUAUAUGAGCCAUUGUUGAGAUACCACUCUUUCUUAUUUGGGUAGCUAACCAGCUUGAGUUAUCCUCAAGUGGGACAAUGUCUGGUGGGUAGUUUGACUGGGGCGGUCGCCUCCCAAAUAAUAACGGAGGCUUACAAAGGUUGGCUCAGAACGGUUGGAAAUCGUUCGUAGAGUAUAAAGGUAUAAGCCAGCUUAACUGCAAGACAUACAAGUCAAGCAGAGACGAAAGUCGGUCUUAGUGAUCCGGUGGUUCUGUGUGGAAGGGCCAUCGCUCAAAGGAUAAAAGGUACCCCGGGGAUAACAGGCUGAUCUCCCCCAAGAGCUCACAUCGACGGGGAGGUUUGGCACCUCGAUGUCGGCUCAUCGCAUCCUGGGGCUGGAGCAGGUCCCAAGGGUAUGGCUGUUCGCCAUUUAAAGCGGUACGCGAGCUGGGUUCAGAACGUCGUGAGACAGUUCGGUCCCUAUCUGCCGUGGGCGUAAGAAGAUUGAAGAGAUUUGACCCUAGUACGAGAGGACCGGGUUGAACAAACCACUGGUGUAGCUGUUGUUCUGCCAAGAGCAUCGCAGCGUAGCUAAGUUUGGAAAGGAUAAACGCUGAAAGCAUCUAAGCGUGAAGCCAACUCUAAGAUGAAUCUUCUCUAAGCUCUCUAGAAGACUACUAGUUUGAUAGGCUGGGUGUGUAAUGGAUGAAAGUCCUUUAGCUGACCAGUACUAAUAGAGCGUUUGGCUUAUCUUUAAUAAAGCAU
rnacentral:rRNA from 1 species